UCCCCGUUGCCGGGGCAGUCUGAAUAGAAAAAUUCAACUAUUCACAAGGGUUGCGCUCGUUAAUGGACUUAACCAAACAUCUCACGACACGAGCUGACGACGGCCAUGCAACAGCUGUCACUUGGCUCAAUAAAGCACUCGCUACUUUCGUAGCAAUUCCAAGGAUGUCAAACCCUGGUGAGGUUCUCCGUUUAGCAUCGAAUUAAAGAACACGAUCCACCGCUUGUGCGGGUCCCCGUCAAUUCCUUUAUGUUUUAGUCUUGCGACCGUACUCCACAGGCGGGAUACUUAACGCGUUAGCUUCGCUACUGGAGGGGUCGAUACCUCCAACAGCUAGUAUCCAUCGUUUACGGCGUGGACUAC
rnacentral:misc_RNA from 1 species